UACAGAGGGUGCGAGCGUUGUUCGGAAUCAUUGGGCGUAAAGCGCACGUAGGCGGCUUCGCAAGUCGGAUGUGAAAUACCUCGGCUCAACCAAGGACGUGCAUCCGAAACUGUGAGGCUUGAGUACUGAAGAGGAUCGCGGAAUUCCCGGUGUAGAGGUGAAAUUCGUAGAUAUCGGGAGGAACACCAGUGGCGAAGGCGGCGAUCUGGGCAGAUACUGACGCUGAGGUGCGAAAGCGUGGGGAGCAAACAGG
rnacentral:rRNA from 1 species